GGGUUAAGUCCCCAUAACGAGCGCAACCCCUACUGCUAGUGCCAGCGGAUCAUGCCGGGGACUCUAGCGAAACUGCCGGUGUAAACCCGGCGAGGAAGGUGGGGAUGACGUCAAAUCAGCACGGCCCUUAUGUCCAGGGCUACACACGUGUUACAAUGGCCGGUACAGAGGGCAGCUACCUGUUGACAGGAUGCGAAUCUCCAAAGCCGGUCUCAGUUCGGAUCGGAGUCUGCAACUCGACUCCGUGAAGCUGGAUUCGCUAGUAAUCGCGCAUCAGCCAUGGCGCGGUGAAUACGUUCCCGGGCCUU
rnacentral:rRNA from 1 species